CGCGUAGGCGGUUUGCCGAGUCAGGCGUGAAAGCCCCGGGCUUAACCUGGGAACUGCGUUUGAUACUGGCAGGCUAGAGGUUGGAAGAGGAGAGUGGAAUUCCCAGUGUAGAGGUGAAAUUCGUAGAUAUUGGGAAGAACACCAGUGGCGAAGGCGGCUCUCUGGUCCACACCUGACGCUGAGGCGCGAAAGCGUGGGGAGCAAACA
rnacentral:rRNA from 1 species